rnacentral:rRNA from 1 species
UACGUAGGGUGCGAGCGUUAAUCGGAAUUACUGGGCGUAAAGCGUGCGCAGGCGGUUUGUUAAGACAGAUGUGAAAUCCCCGGGCUUAACCUGGGAACUGCAUUUGUGACUGGCAAGCUAGAGUAUGGCAGAGGGGGGUAGAAUUCCACGGUGUAGCAGUGAAAUGCGUAGAGAUGUGGAGGAAUACCGAUGGCGAAGGCAGCCCCUGGGCCAAUACUGACGCUCAUGCACGAAAGCGUGGGGAGCAAACAGG